ensembl:snoRNA SNORD16 Small nucleolar RNA SNORD16
UGCUAUGAUGAUGUAAUUUGCGUCUUAUCCAGUGUUCAGUGACAGUUGCCUGCUGUCAGCAAGCUGGCACUGUUGAAUUGAAGACCCCUUCAUUCUGAGCA